UGCAAUAUUUGGGGGUUUCAAGUUACCUCUAGGUUAAGAGUUAAGAGUUCAUCCUUACCCCCAAAAUACUCUAGGCCUCAAAACGUGAACAUAGAAACCCAAGUCUGAAUUCCAAGGUGUUUGCCAAAUUGCCGCAGUGUGAGGACUAAAGAAAAAGUCAUCGAGUUCCAUAGGAGAAGCGAGGAGAUGUGCACUUUUCGUUUCGGCGGAUAUACUUCACUUGUUAGAGGAGAACAUUCAUUUGGGCGGAGAUGUGAACAUUGUUAGAUUGAAUUACUUACAACUCUUGUGACACAGUGAGCCGAUAAUUUUCUCAUUGGCUUCCUGUUACUAGGCACGUUGUGAGAAAAAAAUGGAAUGACUUGAAACAAAUUAACAUGUUAAUUUUUGGAUAUUAGUUCAAAAAUUAAGAGAAAUAUACCUGGAAUGAAUCUUCAACUUGCCUAAACUCCUCCGGAUUACUCGACGGAAGGUCCUAUCUAAAACAUUUAUCAACUCCCUGUGGAUAGCUGUGAAAGCAGAGUCGUGCUAUACAAAAUUCCAAGAAGAGUCCUAAAUAUUGUGAUCUUACUAUGGAUAAUCUGAGAAGACGAAACAUAAUCAUAGCAGACUGGUGUUGUAUGUGUAAAAGAGGGGGUGAAUCGGUGGAUCAUUUACUUUUACAUUGCGAGGUAGCCAGGACUAUUUGGGAUGCGGUGUUUAACAGAAUAGAUCUAGCAUGGGUGAUGCCAGAAACUGUGAUGGAUGCUUUGGCCUGUUGGACUUCAAUUCGAGGAAUGAGACAGAUUAAAGCGGUUUGGAAGAUGAUCCCAAACUGUAUUUUGUGGUGCUUAUGGCAGGAGCGCAAUGAGAGGAUUUUUGAAGACAAAGAGAGAUCAAUAGCAGAGCUAAAAAUGUUAUUUUUUAGGACCCUUUGUACUUGGGCUCAUGCUGUGGACUUUAAUGGCAUGGAGUUUCAUGAGUUUCUAGUUUCUAAUGUUCCCACCUAGUUAGGAUGGGAGCAGCAGAACUUUUCUUUGUAAUUGACACUUUUUGGAUGAAUAUAUACUUAUUUUACUUA